AGAGUUUGAUCAUGGCUCAGAACGUACGCUGGCGGCACGCCUAACACACGCAAGUCGAACGAAGUAGCAAUACUUAGUGGCAGACGGGUGAGUAACAUGUAGGUAUCUGCCCUUUGGCCUGGAAUAACACGAGGAAACUUGUGCUAAUACCGGAUAAGUCUUUACGGAGAAAGCUUUAUGCACCAUUGGAUGAGCCUGCACUUGAUUAGUUUGUCGGUAGGGUAAUGGCCUACCAAGACUGUGAUCAAUAGCUGAUUUGAGAGGAUGAUCAGCCACAUUGGGACUGAGACACGGCCCAAACUCCUACGGGAGGCAGCAGUGGGGAAUCUUGCACAAUGGAGGAAACUCUGAUGCAGCGAUGCCGCGUGAGUGAAGAAGGCCUUUGGGUUGUAAAGCUCUUUCGUCGGGGAAGAAAAUGACUGUACCCGAAUAAGAAGGUCCGGCUAACUUCGUGCCAGCAGCCGCGGUAAUACGAAGGGACCUAGCGUAGUUCGGAAUUACUGGGCUUAAAGAGUUCGUAGGUGGUUGAAAAAGUUGGUGGUGAAAUCCCAGAGCUUAACUCUGGAACUGCCAUCAAAACUUUUCAGCUAGAGUAUGAUAGAGGAAAGCAGAAUCUCUAGUGUAGAGGUGAAAUUCGUAGAUAUUAGAAAGAAUACCAAUUGCGAAGGCAGCUUUCUGGAUCAUUACCGACACUGAGGAACGAAAGCAUGGGUAGCGAAGAGGAUUAGAUACCCUCGUAGUCCAUGCCGUAAACGAUGUGUGUUAGACGUUGGAAAUUAAUUUUCAGUGUCGCAGCGAAAGCGAUAAACACACCGCCUGGGGAGUACGACCGCAAGGUUAAAACUCAAAUGAAUUGACGGGGACCCGCACAAGUA
rnacentral:rRNA from 1 species